rnacentral:rRNA from 1 species
GAGCCGAGCGGGUAAGGGCAGUAAGGGUGGUGAGNACCUUCAGGAUUGGAUAGCNUAGGGAAAUUAGGUAAUACCGGGCGAAGUUGCGAGGCCGCAUGGUCUGGCAACCAAACGUGUGAAUCGGCCUGGGGAGCGGCUCACGUGGUAUUAGCUAGUUGGUAGGUAAUGGCCUACCAAGGCGAAGAUGCUUAGCGGGUGUGGGAGCACGACCCGCGCCAUUCGCACUGAGACACUGGCGAGACACCUACGGGUGGCUGCAGUCGAGGAUCUUCGGCAAUGGGCGCAAGCCUGACCGAGCGACGCCGCGUGCGGGAUGAAGGCCUUCGGGUUGUAAACCGCUGUCGAGGGGGAGGAAAUCUACCGGGGCACUCUCCGGUAGUUGACCUAUCCCUGGAGGAAGCACGGGCUAAGUUCGUGCCAGCAGCCGCGGUAAGACGAACCGUGCGAACGUUGUUCGGAUUCACUGGGCUUAAAGGGCGCGUAGGCGGUCCGCCAAGUCAGGGGUGAAAUCUUUCGGCUCAACCGGAAAAUUGCCUUUGAUACUGGCGGGCUCGAAGAGGGUAGGGGUUGCGGGAACAGCCAGUGGAGCGGUGAAAUGCG